GUGUCAGCAGCCGCGGUAAUACGGAGGUGGCAAGCGUUGCUCGGAAUUACUGGGCGUAAAGGGCGCGUAGGCGGGGCGAUCAGUCGGGCGUGAAAGCCCCCGGCUCAACCGGGGAACGGCGUCCGAAACUGUCGCUCUUGAGUACCGGAGAGGAGGGUGGAAUUCCCGGUGUAGCGGUGAAAUGUGUAGAUAUCGGGAGGAACACCGGUGGCGAAGGCGGCCCUCUGGACGGAUACUGACGCUGAGGCGCGAAAGCGUGGGGAGCAAACGGGAUUAGAUACCCCUGUAGUCC
rnacentral:rRNA from 1 species